UGGGGAAUUUUGCACAAUGGGGGAAACCCUGAUGCAGCGACGCCGCGUGAUUUAGAAGGCCUUCGGGUUGUAAAAAUCUUUUCUAUGGGAAGAAAAUGUCAGUACCAUAGGAAUAAGGACCGGCUAAUUACGUGCCAGCAGCCGCGGUAAUACGUAAGGUCCGAGCGUUGUCCGGAAUCAUUGGGCGUAAAGGGUACGUAGGCGGGUAAGCAAGUUAGAAGUGAAAUCCUAUAGCUCAACUAUAGUAAGCUUUUAAAACUGCUCAUCUUGAGGUAUGGAAGGGAAAGUGGAAUUCCUAGUGUAGCGGUGAAAUGCGCAGAUAUUAGGAGGAAUACCGGUGGCGAAGGCGACUUUCUGGCCAUAACCUGACGCUGAGGUACGAAAGCGUGGGUAGCAAACAGG
rnacentral:rRNA from 1 species